CCAGCCCACACCUGUUUGCUUUUCUCUUGUAACUUGAGCCCAACAGUGGCAGCCAGCCUGUUCUCAUGCUCUGCUGACUUUGGUGUCCCCAGAGAGAGCCCUGGGGUAGUGACAGUGCUGUGGCACUGCCAACAUCCGGUCUCCCAAACUGCCCCGAGAGAGCUGAACGGAGCUGCAGCAGCCCCAGCCCCGGGGGCCGGUGGUCGGAGCCGGGCAGGAGGAGCGCAGGGCCAGCAAGCGGGAGGGAGGCGAGCAGCGCGGCAGGAAGGAAACUGCUCCGACCAGGGCGAAAGGAGGCUUCAUCUGUUCCUCCGGAGGACUCGACAGCAAGGUUCUCUUGCAAGAAAAUCACCAAAGCGUUUUAAAAACUGGACUGGAAUUGAAAACGUGCCCAAGGCAACGCCCCUGCUGGGGCGGAGCGGGCGACCUGGAGUUCUUUCCCGCCCGGCGCUGCGGGCUUCACUAGCCCCGGCAGGGCCAGGGAAGCGCUCGGAGAAGGAGCCCAGCCCGGCCAGGACUCCCUUCAGCAGAAGCGGUGAUGCAGGCAGCGCGCUCCGAGGGGAGACGGCUGCGCUGGCACUCCGGGGAUGCCGAGGCCGGGGAGCAGAGAGAGCAUCUGCCCGAGGAUGGAGCUGGGACUCUUCUGACACCUCUGCAGUGCCAGAGGCAGCGCGCUUGGGCUUUUUGCUGCUUGGGAGAGUAUCUGAGCAAGGCUUGACUCACUGCUGCCAGAAAGGACAAUAUCGGUGUCCCCAAAGGCCACAGCCAGGUAAAGCCCUCACUGCUGGCUGCGUGCGGAUUGCUUGCAGCCCCUGGCCUGGGCUCCCGGGGGCUCGCUGGGUGCAGGGCGCCAGCACACGCUGCUCGUGGGAUAGGUGCCGGUUUGCUCUCGCGCUCCUCCCGCCCACGCCAGCGUGGCCCGUCAGCGCGGCUCUGCUCGUCCCUAAGGCGGGAGCUCUCCGCGAUCGGUACGGAGCAGGCUCAAAGGUCACACGACAUUGCAGUCAAGCGCAUACCAAGCAGUAA
rnacentral:lncRNA from 1 species